rnacentral:snoRNA from 1 species
GUGGACAACUAUCCUGCGCGCCCCUCAUGUGGGCGCCUGGGCUGAUUCCCACCACAGAAGGAAACCAGAACGUUUUAUCUACCUCUUGCUGCGGCGCUAACUAACCCGCCUCGGGGUUAAAACGCCGUGCUACAUUC